AUUAGGGGAUAAAUUAAUAAUAAAUAAUUAAUAAAAAAAAUUUUAAUAUAAAAAUAUUUAAUGGGGGGUAAAGUAUUUUUAAUAGAAAAAAUUUUUAAAUUUAUAAAGAAAUAGUAUUGUAAAAGAAAUUUGAAAUAUAAUGAAAAAAAAAAUUUUAAAAAAGUAAAUUUUAUUUAUUGUAUCUUGUGUAUCAGAGUUUAUUAAUAAAUAUUUUUAUUUAAAAGUUUCUCGAAUUUAAAAGAGUUAAUUAAUUAUUAAAGUUAAUGUUGAAUAAUUAUUUUAAAUAAUUAAUUAGAAAUGAAAUGUUAAUCGUUUUUAAAUAUAUCUAGUUUUUUUAGAAAAAAAUUUAAUUUUAAAUAAUAAUAAAGUAAUUUUUAUUUUUAUAAAAAUUACAAAUUAUUAUUAAAUAUUUUAGGGGAUAAGCUUUAAAAUAAAUUUUUAUAAAUAUGAAAAUUUUUAAUUAAUAAAAUUUUUAGAAUUUAUAUUGGAAAUAAAUUAUAAUUUUUUAUAAAUAAUUUUAUUAAAAAUAAAAUUUAAAUUAAAUUUAAUUUAUUAUAAAAAUAUAAUUUAUAAUUAAAAAAUAUUAAAAAAAAUGAUAUAAAUUAGUAUAUAAUUUUUUUUUUUCCCCAUAAAAAGUUUUAAAGAUAAUUUUUUAAAAAGGAAUUCGGCAAAUAUUUAUAUUCACUUGUUUAUCAAAAACAUGUCUUUUUUGUUUUUAAUUUAAAGUUUAAUCUGCCCCCUGAUAAAUAUAUUGAAGGGCUGCAGUAUUUUGACCGUACAAAGGUAGCAUAAUCAUUAGUCUUUUAAUUGGUGACUUGUAUGAAGGAUUUAAUGAAAUAUAUACUGUCUCUUUUGAAUUUGUAGAAUUUAAUUUUUUAGUUAAAAAGCUAAAAUUUAUUUAAAAGACGAGAAGACCCUAUAGAGUUUAAUAUUUAUAAUAAUUUUAAUUUUAUAUAAAAAUUUUUUACAUUAAAAUUAUUAAAAUUAUUUUGUUGGGGUGAUAGAAAAAUUAAAUUAACUUUUUUUAUAAAUUAACAUUAAUUUAUGGAUAAAUGAUCCGUAAUUUACGAUUAUAAGAUAAAAUUACCUUAGGGAUAACAGCGUAAUUUUUUUUUUUAGUUCAUAUAAAAAAAAAAGUUUGCGACCUCGAUGUUGGAUUAAGAUAAAAUUUAAAUGCAAAAGUUUAAAAUUUUGAUCUGUUCGAUCAUUAAAAUCUUACAUGAUCUGAGUUCAAACCGGUGUAAGCCAGGUUGGUUUCUAUCUUUAAUUUAAUUAAAUAUUUUAGUACGAAAGGAAUAAAUAUUUAAAAUAAUUUUGUUAAAAAGAAUUUUAUUAAUUUAUU
rnacentral:rRNA from 1 species